UACGGGGGGGGCAAGCGUUGUUCGGAAUUACUGGGCGUAAAGGGCUCGUAGGCGGCCAACUAAGUCAUACGUGAAAUCCCUCGGCUUAACCGGGGAACUGCGUCUGAUACUGGAUGGCUUGAGUUCGGGAGAGGGAUGCGGAAUUCCAGGUGUAGCGGUGAAAUGCGUAGAUAUCAGGAGGAACACCUGCGGUGUAGACGGCUUACUGGACGGUAACUGACGCUGAGGCACGAAAGCGUGGGUAGCAAACAGG
rnacentral:rRNA from 1 species